GUGGAUUAGAUACCCUGGUAGUCCACGCCCUAAACGAUGUCUACUAGUUGUCGGGUUUUAAUUAACUUGGUAACGCAGCUAACGCGUGAAGUAGACCGCCUGGGGAGUACGGUCGCAAGAUUAAAACUCAAAGGAAUUGACGGGGACCCGCACAAGCGGUGGAUGAUGUGGAUUAAUUCGAUGCAACGCGAAAAACCUUACCUACCCUUGACAUGUCAGGAAGACCGAAGAGAUUUGGUUGUGCCCGAAAGGGAACCUGAACACAGGUGCUGCACGGUUGUCGACAACU
rnacentral:rRNA from 1 species